rnacentral:rRNA from 1 species
CAGCAGCCACGGUAAUACGUAGGGUGCGAGCGUUAAUCGGAAUUACUGGGCGUAAAGCGUGCGCAGGCGGUUAUAUAAGACAGAUGUGAAAUCCCCGGGCUCAACCUGGGACCUGCAUUUGUGACUGUAUAGCUAGAGUACGGUAGAGGGGGAUGGAAUUCCGCGUGUAGCAGUGAAAUGCGUAGAUAUGCGGAGGAACACCGAUGGCGAAGGCAAUCCCCUGGACCUGUACUGACGCUCAUGCACGAAAGCAUGGGGAGCAAACAGGAUUAGAUACCCCUGUAGUCCCUGUCUCUUAUAC